GACGAACGCUGGCGGCGUGCUUAACACAUGCAAGUCGAACGGAAAGGCUCCAGCUUGCUGGAGUACUCGAGUGGCGAACGGGUGAGUAACACGUGGGUAAUCUGCCCUGCACUCUGGGAUAAGCCUGGGAAACUGGGUCUAAUACUGGAUAUGACCUUUCUCCUUAUGGGGUUUGGUGGAAAGUUUUUCGGUGUAGGAUGAGCCCGCGGCCUAUCAGCUUGUUGGUGGGGUGAUGGCCUACCAAGGCGACGACGGGUAGCCGGCCUGAGAGGGUGAUCGGCCACAUUGGGACUGAGAUACGGCCCAGACUCCUACGGGAGGCAGCAGUGGGGAAUAUUGCACAAUGGGCGGAAGCCUGAUGCAGCGACGCCGCGUGAGGGAUGACAGCCUUCGGGUUGUAAACCUCUUUCAGCAGGGACGAAGCGUAAGUGACGGUACCUGCAGAAGAAGCACCGGCUAACUAUGUG
rnacentral:rRNA from 1 species